rnacentral:rRNA from 1 species
CAAUAGCGUAUAUUAAAGUUGUUGCAGUUAAAAAGCUCGUAGUUGGAUUUGUGGCUGCCACGGGCGGCCUAUCACUUAGUGUUAGUGCUUGCCUGUGUCGCCAUCCUUGGGUGGAGCCCGUGUGGCAUUAGGUUGUCGUGCGGGGGAUGCCCAUCGUUUACUGUGAGAAAAUUAGAGUGUUCAAAGCAGGCUUAUGCCAUUGAAUAUGUUAGCAUGGAAUAAUAAGAUAGGACCUCGGUACUAUUUUGUUGGUUUGCGCACCGAGGUAAUGAUUAAUAGGGACAGUUGGGGGUAUUCGUAUUUCAUUGUCAGAGGUGAAAUUCUUGGAUUUCUGAAAGACGAACUACUGCGAAAGCAUUUACCAAGGAUGUUUUCAUUAA